AGAAUCAACGCUGGCGGCGUGCCUAACACAUGCAAGUCGAACGAGAAAGUGGGAGCAAUCCCACGAGUAAAGUGGCGCACGGGUGAGUAACACGUGACUAACCUACCCUUGAGUGGGGGAUAACCUAGGGAAAACCUGGGCUAAUACCGCAUAAUACCUACGGGUCAAAGGAGCAAUUCGCUUUAGGAGGGGGUCGCGGCAGAUUAGUUAGUUGGCGGGGUAAUGGCCCACCAAGACAGUGAUCUGUAUCCGGCCUGAGAGGGCGCACGGACACACUGGAACUGAAACACGGUCCAGACUCCUACGGGAGGCAGCAGUGGGGAAUUUGCGCAAUGGGGAAACCCUGACGCAGCAACGCCGCGUGGAGGAUGAAGCCCCUUGGGGCGUAAACUCCUUUCGAUCGGGAAGAUAAUGACGGUACCGGAAGAAGAAGCCCCGGCUAACUUCGUGCCAGCAGCCGC
rnacentral:rRNA from 1 species